GAAAUUCGCUUUUGUCUGCACACUGCACC
rnacentral:piRNA from 1 species